GAUGAACGCUGGCGGCGUGCUUAACACAUGCAAGUCGAACGGGAAUUAUUUUAUUGAAACUUUGGUCGAUUUAAUUUAAUUCUAGUGGCGGACGGGUGAGUAACGCGUGGGUAACCUGCCUUAUACAGGGGGAUAACAGUCAGAAAUGGCUGCUAAUACCGCAUAAGCGCACAGAGCUGCAUGGCUCAGUGUGAAAAACUCCGGUGGUAUAAGAUGGACCCGCGUUGGAUUAGCUGGUUGGUGGGGUAACGGCCCACCAAGGCGACGAUCCAUAGCCGGCCUGAGAGGGUGAACGGCCACAUUGGGACUGAGACACGGCCCAGACUCCUACGGGAGGCAGCAGUGGGGAAUAUUGCACAAUGGGGGAAACCCUGAUGCAGCGACGCCGCGUGAAGGAAGAAGUAUCUCGGUAUGUAAACUUCUAUCAGCAGGGAAGAUAGUGACGGUACCUGACUAAGAAGCCCCGGCUAACUACGUG
rnacentral:rRNA from 1 species